UACAGAGGGGCAAGCGUUGUUCGGAAUUACUGGGCGUAAAGGGCGCGUAGGCGGCCUUCUAAGUCGAACGUGAAAUCCCUGGGCUCAACCCAGGAACUGCGUCCGAUACUGAAAGGCUUGAAUCCGGGAGAGGGAUGCGGAAUUCCAGGUGUAGCGGUGAAAUGCGUAGAUAUCUGGAGGAACACCGGUGGCGAAGGCGGCAUCCUGGACCGGUAUUGACGCUGAGGCGCGAAAGCCAGGGAGCAAACGGG
rnacentral:rRNA from 1 species